UGUUAAAAUUUUUUCCAUUUGUAUCGUUAAAAAUUGGUGUGAUUAAUGAAAUAAUUAGAUAGUGACAUAUGAUGUGCACCUCAUUCUGACAUACACGGAUCAGUUUUUAACAGCAAAAAUAGAUGAAAAUUUUAACA
rfam:Gossypium arboreum cultivar AKA8401 contig_7225_1, whole genome shotgun sequence.